AGAGCGAACGCUGGCGGCGCGCUUAACACAUGCAAGUCGAGCGAGAACCAGGCCUUCGGGCCUGGGGAAAGCGGCGAACGGGUGAGUAACACGUGGGUAACCCACCCUUGGUACCGGGAUAGCCCGAGGAAACUCGGAUUAAUACCGGAUGGCCCAACAGCUUCUCGGAGCGGUUGGAAAAGGUAGCUUCGGCCUCCGACCAAGGACGGGCCCGCGGUGGAUUAGCUUGUUGGUGAGGUAACGGCUCACCAAGGCUUCGAUCCAUAGCUGGUCUGAGAGGACGAUCAGCCACACUGGGACUGAGACACGGCCCAGACUCCUACGGGAGGCAGCAGUGGGGAAUCUUGCGCAAUGGGCGAAAGCCUGACGCAGCGACGCCGCGUGGGGGAAGAAGGCUUUCGGGUUGUAAACCCCUUUCAGGAAGGACGAAGCCACUCGGGUUAAUAGCCCAGAGGGUGACGGUACUUCCAGAAGAAGCCCCGGCUAACUACGUGCCAGCAGCCGCGGUAA
rnacentral:rRNA from 1 species